rnacentral:rRNA from 1 species
AUGUCUACGUCAGAGGGUUCGGAGACUGCUGAUUCCAUGGAUGAGGAUACGAGUCAAAUACCACAUGUUAGAAGGUCCAAGGUAUGGGAGCAUUAUGAAGUAGAUUUGGUUCUCGUAGAUGGUGAUUUCAAGGCUGUGUGCAAAUAUUGUGGAGCGUAACUUCACACCAAGUUUGGGACUAGCAGUUUGAGGACCCAUAUUGCAGAGGCUUGCCAAUCAAUCCAAGAUGCUUGCAGACAGAGGUUUUUGUUGACCAUGAAAAAAAACCAUCCGAAGGACUGUUUGUGUUUGAUGAAAAAGCAAGGGCAUUGA